UACGUAGGGUGCAAGCGUUAAUCGGAAUUACUGGGCGUAAAGCGUGCGCAGGCGGCUUUGCAAGACAGAUGUGAAAUCCCCGGGCUUAACCUGGGAACUGCAUUUGUGACUGCAUGGCUAGAGUGCGGCAGAGGGGGAUGGAAUUCCGCGUGUAGCAGUGAAAUGCGUAGAUAUGCGGAGGAACACCGAUGGCGAAGGCAAUCCCCUGGA
rnacentral:rRNA from 1 species